rnacentral:rRNA from 1 species
AACGAACGCUGGCGGCAUGCCUAACACAUGCAAGUCGAACGAAGCCUUCGGGCUUAGUGGCGCACGGGUGCGUAACGCGUGGGAAUCUGCCCUUGGGUUCGGAAUAACAGUUAGAAAUGACUGCUAAUACCGAAUGAUGUCUUCGGACCAAAGAUUUAUCGCCCAAGGAUGAGCCCGCGUCGGAUUAGCUAGUUGGUGAGGUAAAGGCUCACCAAGGCGACGAUCCGUAGCUGGUCUGAGAGGAUGAUCAGCCACACUGGGACUGAGACACGGCCCAGACUCCUACGGGAGGCAGCAGUGGGGAAUAUUGGACAAUGGGCGAAAGCCUGAUCCAGCAAUGCCGCGUGAGUGAUGAAGGCCUUAGGG